AUCGUUCUGCGAGUAUCGUUGGCCGAAUAGCUGCGAUUGUGCCCCUCUUUUAUAGACCUUUUGAGACACAACACAACAAAAAUAAUCGAUUAAGCGUUUCGCUUCGAAAAUAAUGCACUUUACAGAUGCAGACACGUGUUUGUGUGUUGACAAGUUGGCUAAUUGCGGAGAUGAGAGUCAUCACGCCACACGCCAUCAUCCUCACAGUAUUUGGACAGAGGUUCGAACGGAAUCCCAACAAAAUUCCGUUUAAAGUGGAAAGCGCCCUCUAAUUGUUUAUGCUUGCUUGUACACAGUCCGAGUUCGUUUCGGUUUGGAUCGUGCAUCGGAGUGGCUGCUGGAAUGGCUUUUUUCUGACUUUUUUCAGCAACUGCAUUUUGUCAUGCAUUUAGAAUGCAGACUACAUGAGAUCGAAGCUGUUCGACGCUUGUGGAAAAAUCCAUUGAAAUGUUGAAACUGCAACAAAGUAGCUGCCAGAUACAUGCUGGAGUUAACAGAUAAAUGCUGAAUUAUCUCAUCUAAGCCUUCAAAUAUUUACUCGUCAAAUAGGCAUAGCUUUUGCUGCAAUCUCUGACUGUGUGCCAAUAAUUAUUGGAUAGCUCUUUCUCCUAUAAUUUCUACAAUUUGCAGAGUUAAAAUAUGUUAAAAUAUAUGUUGGAAUAAUCGAAAUUCUAUCUGCGAUCACCCACACAAUGAAGAGUUGGACUCGCACAGGACUCGCUUGGAGCGAAACUGAAUGGAUUUGCCUGCAGCAAGGAGCUAUUUAUACCCGAGAACUAGUUAUCAGGCCGAAGGACGAAUGUGCGCAAUGAAAAUGCCAUUAAACAGCGGGAUGGUUCUUUUCCUAAUAUGACUCGAAUAUAAUAAUAAGAACAACGAAACAAAUGGCAUGCGCCAGGGAGAACUUUGAAUGCUCUUUGGAGAAGUCUGCCAGCUAAUUGUUAAAGAUAAAUCAGUGCA